AGGUGGGGCUCAAAACAGGUGGGGCUCAAAACAGGUGGGGCUCUAAACAGGUGGGGCUCUAAACAGGUGGGGCUCAAAACAGGUGGGGCUCAAAACAGGUGGGGCUCAAAACAGGUGGGGCUCAAAACAGGUGGGGCUCUAAACAGGUGGGGCUCUAAACAGGUGGGGCUCAAAACAGGUGGGGCUCAAAACAGGUGGGGCUCAAAACAGGUGGGGCUCAAAACAGGUGGGGCUCAAAACAGGUGGGGCUCAAAACAGGUGGGGCUCAAAACAGGUGGGGCUCUAAACAGGUGGGGCUCAAAACAGGUGGGGCUCAAAACAGGUGGGGCUCUAAACAGGUGGGGCUCAAAACAGGUGGGGCUCAAAACAGGUGGGGCUCAAAACAGGUGGGGCUCUCAACAGGUG